UGUGUCCGACUGAGCUAACUGUCAAGCUAUGAAUGUUAAAUUAGGACAUUUAGAUGCAAGACCUUUGGACAAGUGUACUCUAAAUAACUUAUUGUUAAGUUAGUGUGCUAUGUGUUGAGUGUAUUUUAUUGUAUUUUCCUUCUCUGUACUCCUAGUGGUUUUAUGAUGAUACUGAAAACUGUAUAUUUCAACCUUAGUAGCCAUAGUGCAGGCUCCAGCACAAUCCUCUGUAUUGGAACCAUGUUCACUUACAUUGUCCCUUUCAAAUGAAAUGGAAAUAGUAAACAAUAGUGGAAGCUAUCCCCAAGAACAACAUUCGAAAGCUCAAUAUGAGGAAUUUGAAAAUGUGAAAGCAUUUUGAAUUGUUAAUGUUAUAAGUUUCACUUUAUUAUCUGUCCUCAUGAUCCUUUCUUAAGUUUCUGGCAGCAGCAACGGAAAAGGAUAAGGUGCCCCCUCCAAAUGCUGAUGAUGCAGUUCAGUCAACAUCUACCUCUAGUGGGGCGUCAAUAUCUACCUUGAGUGGGGCGUCAACAUCUGCCUCCAGUGGGGUGUCAACAUCUGCCUCCAGUGGGGCGUCAACAUCUGCCUCCAGUGGGACAGCAACAUCUUCUCAUCAUGAAGAUGACACGUCAACCCCUACCUCCAGCAGCACUACCACGACUACAAAAGAUUUGGUGUCAGAAGCGGGAUCUCUGAACGCUCCGUCGGGGACACUCAAGGACGCUGGUGGUCGCGCCGGGAUCCUCGGAUUCUCCUCUACCUCGACAGAAAAGUGUUACGGGACGAGAGGACCUGCGCCUGGGUGAAACCGAUUGACUUCACGAGAUCCAACAAACUCAAUUCCUCUAAAAUAUCUGGUGAGAUGUACAAUUUCUAAAUUGUUUAAAAGUAAAACGUAAAUAAACUCCAUGACAUCUGCAGUGGGUUGCUAACCGCAAAAGAGGAUACUAGCAAUAUCCGACGUAAAUAAAGUUACGGCGAGGGUUUUGUACCAGUGAAACAAAUCUAAGGUCACCGACAGGGUGAAACGUGUCUGAUCAACACGAAAGGAAAAUAGUUUUGUGAUUUGUACUAGGAAACAAAUAUAAGAUCACCGACGGGUGAGCAGUGUUUGGUUGACACUUAAGAGUAAGGGGGCUGAGGCCCCAGCGGGGCCCAUAGUGGAUGGCAUGCGAGACAAAUAUGGUGAAGACAGUUUAUCAGAGUUGGAAAUAUGGAUGGAAAUGUUCGGAUUUCCAAAGGGAGGUUCUUUGAGUAAAAAGGAAAAAUUAAAGACCUAAAGGAAAAAUUACAAGUUCAUGAGGAUGGUAUGAGGAAGCAAAAUAAAGUUAAAGUGAAAGACUUAGGAAAAAUAGAAAGACACAGAAAGUGUUUGAAAUAUUGGGAGGCAGAAUGUCACAAAAGGAGGCAGUUAGCCUGAGUGUUAAAAAUAUAUAUAUAUUAAGGUUGGAAAUGAAUGUGAAGAAAAGAAGGAAAAGAAAGAAUUUCCAAAACCAUGUAAACCCCAGACAUCUCUGUAUCCUUCCAUUGCAGGCCUGAAUGACCCUCUCCUCGACUCUGGGUAUCCUUUCCCUCCCCCGGCGUACAACCCUGGCAAACCGGCUGGCCCACCUCAACCACCACCCCCGCCACUACAAGCCCCAGCCAUGCAGUUAGCAGACUCCCCGUCAACUCCAAGCUCAUCCACCUCCAUCAGGCCCAAGUAUUCCGGGACAACAGCGGGAUAAACGAACCCGAUGCCCUAGGGGACCAAGUGGGCAUUUGGGAGACACACCUCAGUAAUGCCUUCCUCAACGGACUCACAGCCACAGCGCAAGCCGCGUAAGAAUGCUGGCCGCUCACAAAACCGAGGGAGAGGCAGAGGAGGUUUCCGAAGCAGAGGACGAGAAGCAAGACCUUCAAACGACGAAAGAUGUUUCAAGUGUGGCAGUGUUGAACAUUGGAUCCGGGACUGCCCACAGAACACUGGCAGCGGAGGCAGAGGGGGACAGCGUGGACAGGGCCAUUCACAAUUAGACUGACCUACACCAGAAAAGGGAGGAAGGGGCCCAAUCGAGCGAGAUGGAAAUUCAGCUUGCAGCUUCAAAAAAGGGAAGUGAUACACACACACAUUAUGCAAGCUAUUGAUAGAAUAUAGUGUGCACCUACACCCACUGUAAGCACAUAUGUGUUAGAGUUUAUUGAAGGAUAAAUGUGUUUUCAUAAUGUAUUCUCAUUGCUGUGUUACAAGAAGCAUAAUGGAGGAACAGAGAAUAGUCUGUUCAAAUGGCACACAUACACACACACACAGAUUCACAUGACUGAGAGUCACAAGAUUCACACUAACAAAUAAGGCGUUGGUCAACACCACAUGAUUGUCAUGUUACUGUAUUGUUGAAAUAAAAAGAAUGCAAUGGGAGAAGGCGAGCGGAGUUGGUUAAGGAGUUGACAUUGCAUGUCACUCGCCGAUUCUCCUUGCAGCAAGUAAACUUGAAACUCGAGUACUGUUAUCUCUGUUCACUGGAUUUUGGUUAUUGAACCGAGCUGGGGUUUUACCCUUACAAAGUAAUAUAGAUACCUCACAUUAAUUGAUCCUUCGAGUCGGAGUCCAAUACAUCGUGACGGGAAGGAGGAGGGAAAAGACACGCCGCAGUCUGUCGACAGCCGGGAUCAUCAGCCGACCCCGAGAAAGACCCGGGACGCAGAAUUCGUGGCCGGGCCGGUGCUUAUAUGUCCAACCUCCCUCAUCCUAGGCACGAUUGACGGAAUCCAACCGGACCAGUGACCACAGAUAACGGGUAAGAUAAAACGUUGAUAUACACGGUUACUCCGCCAUUAAGGAGGUUGAUAAAACGUUGAUAUACACGGUUACUCCGCCAUUAAGGAGGUUGAUAAAACGUUGAUAUACACGGUUACUCCGCCAUUAAGGAGGUUGAUAAAACGUUGAUAGAGAAAGGCUACUCCGCCUAGGAGGAGGAUCGACGUGCCUUUGGGUACACUUAUGAGUGAUUGAGUGAAAGCGGUGUGUAAAAGUGUCACCAGUGGAAUCAGCGCACAGAGUGGAAACCUAACGGUGAUAACACAAACUCUGUGGUCUGUUGAAGUACACUAGUGGUGAAUUAGGAAUUAGGUUCUGACCGGCACGUUGUCCAGUAGGAACACCAAGCUAGAAUCAUGGGGUCCAAUGGGAGUAAGCCUGCCGCUACAGGGAACAUGAGAUAUAUGGAAAUAUAUAGUCAUGGCAGCACCAGUUAUUGUAGCAAAUGGUAUAAACUGUACGGCUUCCGAGGAAAGUUGGAGAAAACAGCAGUAAGAGAAUUAAGCGACAAAUUGAGAGCAGCAACAGCUGGAACAACACAAGGCAAGAAAAGAAAGAAGUUAGAAGCUCAACUGCGGGUUGCAGCUUUAUGGGCUGAACAAGCCCAUAAAAGGACAGGUGGAGCAGAAGAAGGUAUGAUAGCAGCGGCUGUUUCAGUGAAAGCAGACGAGGAGACAGGGCGUUCAGGGUCAGUUGACGCUGUACGCCGCGAGAAAGAGAGAGCGAUAGUGGAAGAACACAAAGCGCAGGAACAAA